GGGGUUGUGGCUCCGUGGUAGAGCACCUGCCUAGCAUGCAUGAGGCACUGGGUUUGAUUCUCAGCACCA
rnacentral:tRNA from 1 species